CGCAUCUCGCAAGUAGCGAGAAUCAGCGUGAGAGGCUUUUUGUAAACACUGGACUUUGUUUACUUCGUAUUCUUUCCUUCUUUUAGAACUUCUUUGGCGCUGAAAGGGCUCGCGGAUCGUCGAAAAAUCGGUAGAAAUGGCUACCGCGACAACGCAAGUCGUGCAAGAUGUGGACACCAACUCUGGACAUAAUAGCAGCAUUGAUGCCAGAAAACGGCGUGCUGGUUCCUUAGGGUGAGUACAUGGCCCCGGUUACCGAACGGACGUGUUGGGAAACGUGGUAUAGUUUUUGCAUGUUUUUAUUUUUCUCUUCCUCUGCUCCCUUAUCCUCCUCCUCCU